AGCCCAGCGCUGAAUCCUAUGGCCACUGGUCAUUCGGACCUGUAGCGUAUAGGUGUAACUGUUCGGCUGUUUUGCUUACCCAAAGUUCCCUUGAGUGGGGCUAUAGUCCAUAGAAGGUGCUAGGCCUGUACGGGUAGUGAGACAGUCGAUUUGGUUGCUCCAUGGAGUCGAGUUGCCUGGGAACGCAGCUCAAAGUAGGUGGUAAACCUCAUCUAAGGCUAAAUAUGACCACGAGACCGAUAGCAAACAAGUACCGUGAGGGAAAGUUGCAAAGAACUUUGAAGAGAGAGUUCAAGAGGGCGUGAAACCGCUGAGAAGGAAACGGAUAGAGUUAACGAAACUUGGUGGCAUUCAUCCGGCUAAUGUUGCUGUUGGUUGCCUGGCUGUACUGCCUUUUAUCGGGUAGCGGUCGGGCGACUAAACUGGCCGCGUUUGGUUGGUGCUUUUGCCAUCGGUAUGCGCCGAGAGGUUCGCUGUGGUGCGUUGAUACCUGGCAAAGAGGACCGCGCCCUUCACUGGGUGUGGAAACUUUUGCCGGUGCUAGGCGUAUCCGCGGUGAAUCGUAGUGUUCGCUUUUGCUACAACGUCUGCCCUAUCGGGUGCAACGGCCGUUGGUGUGGUUGAUGUGGCUGUUGAGCGGUCGCGUGCGACUUGCUUACAGUCGAUGUUGGCUCGCCUGAUGGCACGUUUGCGUAGGGCGUUGUGUCUCGGUGUGAAAGUUGACCACCUAUCCGACCCGUCUUGAAACACGGACCAAGGAGUUUAGCAUAUGCGCGAGUCAUUGGGUGGUAAACCUAAAGGCGUAAUGAAAGUAAAGAUCGAACUUUAGUUUGAUUGAUAUGGGAUCUGCGGAGGCCUGUACUCCAGCAGCGCACCAUAGUCCCGUCUUUGUUGCUUGCAAUAGGGCGGAGAUAGAGCGCAUACGCUGAGACCCGAAAGAUGGUGAACUAUGCCUGAGCAGGAUGAAGCCAGAGGAAACUCUGGUGGAAGUCCGAAGCGGUUCUGACGUGCAAAUCGAUCGUCUGACU
rnacentral:rRNA from 1 species